GAUGAACGCUGGCGGCGUGCUUAACACAUGCAAGUCGAGCGAGAAGUUUUGAAAAGAUUCUUCGGAUGAAAUUUAAAAUGGAAAGCGGCGGACGGGUGAGUAACGCGUAGGCAACCUGCCCCAUACAAAGGGAUAGCAUUUGGAAACGAAUAUUAAUACCUUAUGAAACUUAACUAGUGCAUGCUAGGUAGGUCAAAGAUUUAUCGGUAUGGGAUGGGCCUGCGUCUGAUUAGCUAGUUGGUGAGGUAACGGCUCACCAAGGCGACGAUCAGUAGCCGACCUGAGAGGGUGAACGGCCACAUUGGAACUGAGGCACGGUCCAAACUCCUACGGGAGGCAGCAGUGGGGAAUAUUGCACAACGGGGGAAACCCUGAUGCAGCAACGCCGCGUGAACGAUGAAGGCCUUUGGGUCGUAAAGUUCUGUUCUAGGUGAUGAAAACUGACAGUAACCUAGGAGAAAGCCCCGGCUAACUCCGUG
rnacentral:rRNA from 1 species